GUAGGUGAACCUGCGGAAGGAUCAUUAAUGAAUAUAAAUCGUACUGUUCACGCAGUAUGUGGGGUGGUGACUUCGGUCCCGCUCAUUCAUAUCCAUAACACCUGUGCACUGUUGGAUGCUUGCAUCCACUUUUAAACUAAACAUUAUUGUAACAAAUGUAGUCUUAUUAUAACAUAAUAAAACUUUCAACAACGGAUCUCUUGGCUCUC
rnacentral:misc_RNA from 1 species